GAAGUCCCACAUCGGGAAACAAAAAAGGAAAAGGGGAGAGGCUGGGAAUAAAAGAAAGGGAGGGCCACGCUUGCAACAUACUUACCUGGACGGGGUCGAUGGGUGAUCAUGAAGGCCCAUGGCCUAGGUUGAUGACCUCCAUUGCACUUUGGGAGGGGUGUCAUCCUAAGGUCUCCCCAAGCGGGAGAGCCUACGUCAUAAUUUGUGGCAGCGGGGGCCUGCGUCCGCGCGGCCCCUGCCAAAUUUUCAGUUCAAAUUUCCUUGUUUUUGAAGUGAUGUGUGUUUGCGUUCGGAAGUUUUCUCGCGUGAUUGUGUUGUUUCUGAAGCUGGCGGCAGCGCAGCUGCGGCGGGUCCUCCGAUGUGGAGGGCUUGACAUAAGUGCAGUCUCGAUGCGAGUAAUGGUUGUCGAGUUGAUGACGGUAGGUCUUUUGAUGUGAACUGCGAACGUCGUGGAGACCUGGUUCUCAACGCAUUCUUCACGACUGGGCCUGGAAUCACGGGUCUUUGCUCGACUGAAACAAAGGGAGGCGUUGAAUUCUCUUAGGUAGGUCUCCUGAAAUUGUAAAAUAUAUAUGUUUCUCUUUCUCCGAUUUACGAAGGAGGCUGUGAAAAACGAAGCGGCGGAUUGUGAUAAAAGGGAAUGCUUGUUAUUUCUGCUAGAUUUGUGUAAAAUACUUAUUUUAACCAGAUCGAAAACGGUCACACAUGGGAGGCAGGACAUGGAAGUCAGGUUCGAAGAUCUGCGGUUGUGUGCUGCACUGUGAUCUUUCUUUCGUUUCGUUUUGUUAUAUUUUUUUUGCUGCUAGGCUGACUUUGAUCAGAUGGUUCCUGCUUGCUCUUUGGUUCCAUGCAAGAUUAUUCCGUUUAACAUGCUUAUGGACUAUGCUGGUUCAGUGGUUUGGUCUUAUUUUUCCUUUGCAUCUUAUCAGAGUUGUUCUCGUGGAGUAGCAGCUUGCAAAUUUAUCCCGUGUUUCUGCAAUCGUGGAGUAAGACUUGUAUAUUCUAUUCCUUUCCAUUCUGAAUGCACUUGUUCUUUUCAUAGAUUCUUUACAUACAUGAAAGCCAUAUCAUCCGGAGAUGGGAGAAAGACUUGUAAGCUUUUCCUCAUCUAAUUGUACUCUUCUUAUUCUAUCAAAACCAAAAAGAACAAAAAGGGUGGUAAAUGUUACGAUUAGAUCACCAGAAGCUUGAUUUAUUUGUCAAGAUGCUCAAAAUUUCUCUUGACUUCCUUUGUUAUUAAUAGGAUAGAUCUCCUGCAACUAGAUUUUCUGUAUUUAAACUUCAGAACAUAGUGGGAGCAUGUAUUCUUGUAAGAACAGUAUAUACGAAAUAGGUCCCAACUCUAUUUGCAAUCAUUCCUACAUGUAUGGUUCAUGAGUUAAAAGCCAUUCAAACACACUUGGUACGAGAACCACACUUUUAUUAGUUAAAUUGUGUGCUUGUGCUACCAACUUCACCGAAGCCCACUUCAGACUUUUUCACGAACGUGAAAACAAGGGAACACGUGUGAUGAUGACGAAUUCCCUCGUGUUAAGAAAAGAGCAAAUUCAUCACUAACAUGGAGAAGUAACUGUGAUCUUUGGGAUACCUUUAGACAGGGGUUGAUUAGACAGAUUGAAUCAGGAGAACAGACCUCAUUUUGGUUUGAUGAUUGGUUAAGCAUUGAAGUCCCUCUCGCUGAUUAUGUGAAAGAGAUGGAUCUGAAUAUGAGCUUGAAUGAAAGAGUUGCUGAGUAUCUGUGUUGCCAAAUGGGGACUGGAAUUGGCAAAAACUUGAGAACAAUCUUCCUCACAAGCUUGUUAACCUUGUAACUAGUGUUCACACUGUGAGAGAGAGAGGAGAGGGAGAGGAAAUUUUGAAACGAGCUUUGGAGCUGGUCUACCCAGAAAAAAGAUUAAGAGUUUCAUGUGGCUGUUAGUCAAGGAUAAAGUACAUACAGCAGUUUUGAGGAAGUGACUGUCACCAAGCAGAAAACAUAUGGAAAGCUGUUGUGAAACGAGAAGAUUAUUAGAACCAAUUCAAAAGCCUGCAAGGGAUGGAGUGGAUUCGAUGGAAUAUGAAAGAUGAAAUUGGACCAACCUUCACAAGAAAACUUCCUUGGAAAUAUUUGUUUGCCCAUACUUGCUGGUUUAUUUGGACAAAAGUGUCAAAAAUUAUUUGGUAGCAAAGAUCGAAAUCCUCCGACUAAUGUUGACUCGAUAGUUUUCAAAGCUUGUUGUGAUUGGCAACUCCUUUGAAGUUAUCCAGCAAGUGAUAGAUUAUACCAGGAAGGGGACUGUGAGGCGAGAGCAAGUAACUUCUUCAAGCUUCAGGAAGAUAGAUCAUCUGAUGUUAGAAAUGAAAGCAUAUGUGCUGGCGUAAUUGUGAACAUGAACAAUGAGUGGCACCUUGGGUUUAGUAGGAAACUUUGGUCAAUCCCGUACAUAAUUGCUACGGUGAAAGGAAUCUAAGAGAACUUUGUAGUGGAAAGUGGGACAUUACGUUCAAAUGUGGAUAGAGGGAAAAUAUUUUAGAAGCUAAAAAUCAGCUGACUUAGCUUUCUUUAGUGACUCUAAUUUUUGUACCUUGAGCAAUGUCCGCCUUAGAGUGUAGUAAAUAUUGUCUGAUAAAUGCUGACUAGGAUCAAAUUUACAUGCAUAUUCCAAACUGGCUUGUUCCAGGGGACCUACUGAAGAAUUUAAUGGUAGGCUUUUUGAGUCGACGGUAAGAUGAUGCAACAUUCAGUCCAGAAGCAAUUUAAUGGGGUAGAUCGUACAUGAAAAUAUGAAAAACCAUUGAAUCCAAUCUGUCACAGGCAAAGUGUUACAUUCUAUGCAGAGUCUUCUUGAAUAAAUACUUCCGUUACAAGCGAGCAACUUAUAAGUCGAUACAAAUAAUGGUAUUUUGCUGAAGAAUCAUCGCCUGACACCGGAAGUUCGCCAAAAACAAGCGGCAUGCAUUAUCUAUAUAUAUCGUCAGCAGAUCCCUAAUGUAAUUUGGGUGUGAAUACUAUAUAUCCAUUCAAUAAACUAAGCCAUCUGUACCUAAUAAGAACCCUGGUCUCAAAACACCAUACCUUUCAGUCCAUAUUAAACCAAUCCUCCUGUACCUUUUCGAAACAUCAGCCUCUAAUCUUGUUGUAAUCACAGAAUGGAGUUCAAAUCAAAACUUCAUAAAUAACAUCCAGCCCUCAUCAUAAUCUGUUGUCUGGGGUUGGGAGAAGAUCAACAACUUUGCCAGCUUUAAAACAUGAGUUACCUGUAUUAUUUCUUUUAAUUCCAAUACUUCAACUUGACAUAGCUGCAGAAGAGAACACUGCAAAUUUUCAUGAUUCCCUCAUCAGAUGACUAAAUAGUUGCAGUAACAAAGGGUAGUGAAGAACACCUCUCUUUUGAAGCUGUAAUCCCAUGUCUGUUCUGGUAAAAAAAAAAAAAAAAAAGAUGUCCCAUGUCUGUUCUUCUCAAUGGAUCUCGAAGAUGUCAUCAAACAGUAGAAUUAACAGGCACAAAAAACGCGAACACGUGGUAUAUAAUUUAUGAUUUGUAAGGCGAAAAGUGUGCUAUAAAACAAACGUGUGGAUUGCAGAUGUUGUAAUGUGAUGGAAGCCCCACAUCGGUGAGAUAAAAAGGGAGACGGAGGAGGCAUGGGCUAUAAAACAAAAGGCAAGGCAACGAUGCCAACAUACUUACCUGGACGGGGUCAAUGGGUGAUCAGUAAGGCUCAUGGCCUAGGUUGACGACCUUCAUUGCACAAGCGGAGGGGUGUCACCCUAAGGUCUCCCCAAGUGGGAGAGCCUACGUCAUAAUUUGUGGUGGAGGGGGCCUGCGUGCGCGCGGCCCCUGCCCAAUUUUUAGUCCAAUGCAUUUCGAUUCUGUGAUUGUUUGAUAUGAAAUGUGUUUUAUCUUUGUCAGAUCACUUCGAUUUGGUGUUUUUUGAGUGCUUAAUUAUUUAAUGCUUCGGCUUCGUAAUAGCUCGCACUGAGCCUCUAUCUAGUUUGAGUUAUUGUCUUUUUAAUCUGAAAGAUUUGAUGUAUAUUUCUUUAACAGAACUCGUCGCUUCUAAAUUCUCGCACCUGAUUGUUUAUGUGUAGUCUACAUCCGCUAGGCUGCUGUUCUGCGAUGGGUCCUCCGAUACGGGGGGUCGAUGUUGGUGCUGGCUCGAUGCUUAUUAUGGUUCUAGGAAUGGUGCCGGUAGAUCUCUCGAUGUGAACCGCAAACGUUGUGGAAAACCUGGUGUUUAGGAUCCGAGUCUCGAGGUGGAUGAAUCGAAUGAGUGGGAGAAGCUAAGGAGUAUUCUUCUUGCUUCAGCUUAGGGUUCACGAUUGGACCUGGAAUCGAGGGGGCAUCGAUCUUAGAAACAACGAAAGGCGAUGAAUUCUGAUAGGAAUAAUUCACGGACUAUCAGAUUCUUGAUUAUUGGUUUGCAGGUUUUUUGUGGCAAAUAUAAUUGCCGUUCUUUCAUUUAAUUGUGGAUAAAAAUUGUAAAAAAAAAAAUGUUUCCCAUUCUAUGAUUUAGGAAGGAGUCUGAAAACCAAAAUGUUUCUGGUAGGUGAGUUGUGAACCCACUGAUAUAAUAUAAUCGAAUGGAAAAUGGCGGCACGGGAGGGAGUGUAUGAAUGAAGAAAGGUUUGAAGCUCUGCAAUGGUGUACCUGACUUUGCUCAUUUAUUUGUUUCUCGUCAUUUUGCCUUGUAAGGAGUGCUGCUAGGUUGACUUCUAUCAGAUGAUUUUGCUUGCUCUUGAUUCCUGUACUAAUCCAAAUAUGAAGGACCAACACUGCUUCAUCUUCUUCCUCGUUUCACAAAUCUGAAGAGUCGCCAAGGGCUUGAACGCCAUAAAGGAAGAUAGAAGAACAAGGGUGAGACAAUUUGCUUGUGCUAGCAAAGUUCAUGCAUACCCACUUCAGACUUGUUCACGAAUAUGAAAACAAGGGAAUAAGCAGCGAAAUAAAUGAGCUCCAAAGCUGAAAACACACCCAAAUAAUUCCCCAGAUCUCUCUCUUGUAGCAGUUUGAGUAAUUGGAAUGCCAUAAACAGGUUCUGGAACCAUAUAUUGCUGAUAGGACGAGCUUCUUUCAACAGGAUCAGGUUCCAUUACACUCUCGUGAAGGUGCAUGAACUGGACUUGGAUAUGUCAAUUCUGGAGCAGGUUCCAAAGUCGGUUGCAACAAGAAGGUCCCAUGUUCUGUUCAGCUUCAAGCCACGGUGGUAAGGGUGGAGCCGAUGGCUCAGUGGAGGAGGAGCAACCGCAGCAAUGGUAGCAAGGAGGAGGUGGAGGAGGAUAGUAAGGAGGAAGACGAACUGGAACCAGAACUUGGAAGAAUUCAGUGGGAUGCAAAGGGUAAUAUAGAUUUUGCUGUUGUUUGUGCCUAUAAAGUGACGCUCACAACCUUGAAGACAAGAUACUAAUAUGGACCGUUGGUAAGAGCGUGCUGGUUUGUAGACUUUUAUGCUUUUCUGUUUUUUAAAUUUAUGACCGUUACACUACUGCCACUAGUCCCAAAUCAUCAUCCACAUACCACAAUCCACACUAAAAAGCCCAGAGACAGAUUCACAAAUAACUUUUUCGGCGUUCACUUCUCAAGUUAAACCACACUUCAGAUACAUUUUAGCAUAUGAUACACUUUCAUGGGGGCAAAAAGAUCACGAGAAAAUCACACGAACAACAUAUACACUUUCUUUUUUUUCUGGCUUCCUAAAUUUGUACUAUCUUAUUCCUGAACUAUUCCCCCUAUUUUGAAUAUAAAACAUGUUUUAAAACACAUUUUGCAGAUUUUUAAAAGCAAUUGAUAUCUCUCUUCCCAUAUUUGCUCAUA